rnacentral:rRNA from 1 species
AAAUUGAAGAGUUUGAUCAUGGCUCAGAUUGAACGCUGGCGGCAGGCCUAACACAUGCAAGUCGAACGGUAACAGGAAGCGCUUGCUGCUUCGCUGACGAGUGGCGGACGGGUGAGUAAUGUCUGGGAAACUGCCUGAUGGAGGGGGAUAACUACUGGAAACGGUAGCUAAUACCGCAUAACGUCGCAAGACCAAAGAGGGGGACCUUCGGGCCUCUUGCCAUCGGAUGUGCCCAGAUGGGAUUAGCUUGUUGGUGGGGUAACGGCUCACCAAGGCGACGAUCCCUAG